CUCUCUCCCCAGGACACCCCACCCCAGCAGGCCCUGAGACCCUCCUUCAUGGACUACUUUGACAAGCAGGACUUAAUAAGGUCCAACAGGAGAGCUAUAACCAUAACCAGCAGCAGGAACCAGGCUAUCACAUCAGCCAGGGCUAAGAACGUCUUCCCUGCAACUGGAAGGUUCCUCAGGACGGAGACUUUGACUUUCUGAAGAACCUUGACUUUGAGGAGCUGCAGCUGCGUCUGACGGCUCUGGACCCCAUGAUGGAGAGAGAGAUCGAGGAGCUGCGUCAGCGCUACACCGCCAAGAGACAACCCAUCCUCGACGCAAUGGACGCCAAGAAACGCAGACAGCAGAACUUCUGAAGAGCCUGAACACAUUCUGACCUGGGCCCGUGUUCAUACAGCGUCUCACAUUCCACAGUGCUGAUCUAGGUGGUCCACUUUCCAUGUAAUCUUAUUCCUUAUGAUCUAAARGGCAGAACUGAUGCUAGAUCAGCACUCUGGCAGCAGAAUGCUGAGGACCUUGGAGAAGUCAUUCUGACCUGGUGCUUUCUGACCUGACCAAGGGAGAGGAGAGACCUGACAGCUGUCUGGAAUUUWAUUCACCCUGUGCUCCUAAAUGUCCUCCAUUUUCUCAUCACCACCCCAGUAGUCAGGAUGACUCCAGUCCACACUAUUUUCCCAUUGCUCAGGACUACUGUAAACAAUUCUUUGCCUCCCCAUCUGUUAAUUAUGAACCUGUAGGUAGCCUUACAUCCCAGAGUAAAAGUUUCCUGAAGAUGUUUCUCCCCUUUUUAAAGCGUCCUUUGACUGCUCAAUACUAGCUGGCUUUCUCCCAGCUCUGCUACUGUUAUUUGGCUCUUGGGAAAGUACCAGCAGUUCUGGAUAAUAUUAAAGCAGUUACUUGUAGACUCUC